rnacentral:rRNA from 1 species
AUGGAGCCGACCUUGAAAUACCACCCUUUAAUGUUUGAUGUUCUAACGUUGACCCGUAAUCCGGGUUGCGGACAGUGUCUGGUGGGUAGUUUGACUGGGGCGGUCUCCUCCUAAAGAGUAACGGAGGAGCACGAAGGUUGGCUAAUCCUGGUCGGACAUCAGGAGGUUAGUGCAAUGGCAUAAGCCAGCUUGACUGCGAGCGUGACGGCGCGAGCAGGUGCGAAAGCAGGUCAUAGUGAUCCGGUGGUUCUGAAUGGAAGGGCCAUCGCUCAACGGAUAAAAGGUACUCCGGGGAUAACAGGCUGAUACCGCCCAAGAGUUCAUAUCGACGGCGGUGUUUGGCACCUCGAUGUCGGCUCAUCACAUCCUGGGGCUGAAGUAGGUCCCAAGGGUAUGGCUGUUCGCCAUUUAAAGUGGUACGCGAGCUGGGUUUAGAACGUCGUGAGACAGUUCGGUCCCUAUCUGCCGUGGGCGCUGGAGAACUGAGGGGGGCUGCUCCUAGUACGAGAGGACCGGAGUGGACGCAUCACUGGUGUUCGGGUUGUCAUGCCAAUGGCACUGCCCGGUAGCUA